AGAUCUGGAUUCCCCAGCUUGUGCCAUGGUUUUCUCUUAACUGAGACGAACUUAUCAUGAGGUUACCGUAUUGAUAGAAAUGGCAUCUUGUGUCGCAGUAGCCAAAAAAGAACUGCUCGACUUCGAAGCAAUAUUGAACAUAUGACGAUAUGGACUACUGUUAACCGCUAUAUUUUUCACGGAUGAUUACAAUUUCAGACAGAUUUGUGCGUGUGUAUGUCUGGAUAGAGUACCCAAUAGGCAUCGCGGUAUUUAUAAUACGACUUAGAUUAGUAAUUCACGGCGUUCUCACAAAUUGAUCCUUUUGGCACAUCGUUUUUCCGCCGAAGUGCAUCGUACAGAAAUCAUAACCGCAGACGGCCGAUACAUACAAGUCAUUUACCAUAAAGACGAACUUGGCCCAUGACAGGAGCAGGCGUUUCAAGUAACAAGAGCGUCACCGGAUUAUUCGCGUAAUGGGGUGCUCAGAGAAAUCUCUUCGCUUAACUAUAGUCAUGGAAGGACUACGCUGUGACAUUGUAUAAAGUGGACGAUAAAGGAGUAAUACUGCGAAUUGGGCUUGAUUAAAAGAAACCGACUGUUUCUGUCGCUGCGGCUGCUGAGAUAUGUUGAAGUAAUAGCAGUAACAUUGAAGCCUAUUCAUCGUCUGCUACAGUUAAAUGCCAAAUUUGUCCAGCGUCAAUGUCUCAGUCCAGUCGGCGGACGUCGCGAGACUCACGCGACCAGUUAGGGCAUACGAAAUAAAUAAAAUCA